UCGAGUUAGCAAGAACUUGGUUAAAGCUAAAUGUCGAGCCGUUCGAGACUGUUCUGAAUCACUGGAACUCUAGCUUUAUGUGGAGGACUAAUUUUCUUAAAUCAGAAGCAAAUUUCUCCGAUGUGUUGGAUGAAUUUCCAAUUUUAAAGCAAUCAUUUGGACACUCUCUGAUUGAGGCCGAUUUUGAUUUGCUGUAUCCCCAUCAAAGCAGAAAAUUGGUUGAAAAAUGGGAUAAUUUUAAAAUACAAAUUGUUCCCCUUCUCAAGUCCAAAGUCAGAGAGCAACAAAGUUUAAAUUUGUUGAAAAUUUUUGACCAGCAAUCAGAAGGAACUAAGUCAACUUUAAUAUGGAUGUGCCUACAUGCAGUUUUGGUUCCAACAAACAGAUGCAAAAAACCUGGAUCCAAUAAUCCA